rnacentral:rRNA from 1 species
UUGGCCUACGGGGCGCAGCAGUGGGGAAUAUUGGGCAAUGGGCGCAAGCCUGACCCAGCAACGCCGCGUGAAGGAAGAAGGCUUUCGGGUUGUAAACUUCUUUUGACAGGGAAGAGUAGAAGACGGUACCUGUCGAAUAAGCCACGGCUAACUACGUGCCAGCAGCCGCGGUAAUACGUAGGUGGCAAGCGUUAUCCGGAUUUACUGGGUGUAAAGGGAGCGUAGACGGCAGGGCAAGUCUGGAGUGAAAGGCAGGGGCCCAACCCCUGGACUGCUCUGGAAACUGUCCGGCUGGAGUGCAGGAG